rnacentral:lncRNA from 13 species
UGCCAAGUGAUGUCAGAAACCAGGGUUAGGCCUUGAAGGCUAGCAUGCAAGUGCUGUUGGCUAGCUCGCAAGGACAGCAACCUGCCUCCACCAACAGAAAGCAGCCCCGCACAUGCGUUCACGCACGGUGUCUUGUUGUGUGCCUAAGAAUGGGUUAAUGCAAGUCAAACACCUUCAAGACCAGCAGGAGCCUCUCACACUCCAUCCACACCUUCACUACAGGGAAUGGUUGAUUACAAGAUGAAAAAACGCAUCUUGCAAGAAUGGGAGCCACCACUUACGGGCAAGCUGCUUUUGACUAGAGAGCAAACAAAGAACCUGCUCAAGAACAGACAUACUCAGUCAUGGCAUGUGUAG